GCAAAACAGUUUAUUAAGGCUUACAGGACCAUUAACAUCUCUCAUCACAGGAAUUAGCCGACAAAGACAGCGAAGCAGUAAGGAAAUGUCCUGAUGACUUUCUGUGGAUACAGACAUACUGCAGAUCUCAGUGGAGCAGUUACCUCACAUUUCACAUUCUUCUGUUACGUAAUCUGACCUACUGACUCCAGAUUCGUGUCUAACCCAGUCUGCACAUCACUUCCUGUCAUACCGAUGAAAAACAUGCUCGUGUCUUUACUGACAAACAGUGGGAUGUCUUCAUACACAAAGUUUGGAAUGCUUACUGUAUAUUGUCCAGUUUGUAAGUAACAGAAGGGAUGUAUGAUGUUAAAUCAAUUCUCUGUGUUGUCAGGUAUGAGAAGAAAACCUGGAAAUACUUUAUGAUGCGGUCUGUAUGAAACAGGUACCAGUAAAAUACUAAUUUGUUCCUACUGGUAAUUAAAUGUAGUUACAGUAGAAUAAGGUUGAUGGGCUAUGUAGCUGUUUUUACUUUUUGCUUUUUUUGGUUUUGUUUUUUUUUUUACUCUAACUACACAGCAAGUUGUUAGA